GCCCGACGUGCGGGGCGGGGCUGCUCGCCCGGCCCGGGAGUUGGGGGAGGCAGGAAAAUGAGCAGCAAGAAGUGGGGGCCCAAAGCUGCCUCGGGGAAGCGGCAGACACCCCUCCCUGGAGCCAAGCCGGGAGCCCCGAGAGCCACUGCUGCCCCAGCGGCGUCUGAGGAAGCAGCCUUUCUGGAAUGAGGAUGACGGGCUGAGCCGCACG